UGGGGAAUAUUGCACAAUGGGCGCAAGCCUGAUGCAGCCAUGCCGCGUGUAUGAAGAAGGCCUUCGGGUUGUAAAGUACUUUCAGUCGGGAGGAAGGUGGUAAGGUUAAUAACCUUAUCAAUUGACGUUACCGACAGAAGAAGCACCGGCUAACUCCGUGCCAGCAGCCGCGGUAAUACGGAGGGUGCAAGCGUUAAUCGGAAUUACUGGGCGUAAAGCGCACGCAGGCGGUUUGUUAAGUCAGAUGUGAAAUCCCCGGGCUCAACCUGGGAACUGCAUCUGAUACUGGCAAGCUUGAGUCUCGUAGAGGGGGGUAGAAUUCCAGGUGUAGCGGUGAAAUGCGUAGAGAUCUGGAGGAAUACCGGUGGCGAAGGCGGCCCCCUGGACGAAGACUGACGCUCAGGUGCGAAAGCGUGGGGAGCAGACAGG
rnacentral:rRNA from 1 species